UGAACCAGCGGAAGGAUCAUUGCUGGAACGCGCCCCAGGCGCACCCAGAAACCCUU
rnacentral:rRNA from 1 species